rnacentral:tRNA from 1 species
GGCCACGUGGCGGAGUGGUUACGCAGCGGCCUGCAAAGCCGUGGACGUCAGUUCGAUUCUGACCGUGGCCUCCA